GACGAACGCUGGCGGCGUGCCUAAUACAUGCAAGUAGAACGCUGAAGGAGGAGCUUGCUUCUCUGGAUGAGUUGCGAACGGGUGAGUAACGCGUAGGUAACCUGCCUGGUAGCGGGGGAUAACUAUUGGAAACGAUAGCUAAUACCGCAUAAUAGCAGUUGUUGCAUGACAACUGUUUGAAAGGUGCAAUUGCACCACUACCAGAUGGACCUGCGUUGUAUUAGCUAGUUGGUGGGGUAACGGCUCACCAAGGCGACGAUACAUAGCCGACCUGAGAGGGUGAUCGGCCACACUGGGACUGAGACACGGCCCAGACUCCUACGGGAGGCAGCAGUAGGGAAUCUUCGGCAAUGGACGGAAGUCUGACCGAGCAACGCCGCGUGGGUGAAGAAGGUUUUCGGAUCGUAAAGCUCUGUUGUAAGAGAAGAGCGAGUGUGAGAGUGGAAAGUUCACACUGUGACGGUAUCUUACCAGAAAGGGACGGCUAACUACGUG
rnacentral:rRNA from 1 species